UCUCUCAGUUCUACAAGCUUCUCCAGAAAUGGAAUCAAUUUUAGGAGUUCAUUGUCAUUUUUAUUCAUAAACCAGCUUUCUUUAGGGAUUCCAUUAGAAAGCUGAUAGGCAAAGGCUUGUGGUGAGUUGUCAAUUAUUAUAGUUUUGGAAAAAUCUCUCCCAAGGAUAUUCAAGUCCUUUAUAUAGUUUCCUUGUACACAAAUACAAUGUUCACGGAAAAGCUGGUGCCUGACCAGUUGCUUUUUAGGGUCUAGUAUGUUCAGUAACUUGUCUGCAUACACCUUCUUAGAAGCAGUAAAAAGAAUGAUCUCAUACAUCUGAGAUAUUCGUUCCAGGAAUUCCCUGAAGAAUGGUCUUUUUUUUUUUUUUAUUGCUGAAGAAUGGUCUUAAUCUCACAUAAACCUGAUAAAUGACAUCUUGGAAAAGGACUGGAAAAGUGAGUGCUGCAUUUUCUAGCUCAUUCAGACUGCAGUGCACUAGUGUCUCAUCCAGAUCUAAGACCAGGGAGAACUCUGAUGUGCUUCUUGUUUUCAAAGGAAGAGCAGGUUUCCUAUUUAGCUGUUCUUCUGUCAGAGGCGGAACAUGUUUGAUGAAAUAAUAGGGGUCAAAUACUUCCCAGUCUUCUUCAUAGGUGGCCUCUCCAUGGGCUGACAAGAUUUGAUUUGAGUAAGCCGCUCCAUUAGCUGACGUGGUGCUGGUAGUAAUUUCAUCCACCUGUUCCAUGUCAAGUUGUUUCACUAUCUCGUCAGCUUCCACAGCCUGUCCUGGGGAAUCUGAGCCUGACGCUCCAUUUUUAUUUGCUGGUGAAAAAAAGUUGAAGACAGGCGAAAAUAUGGUCCCCAACAAUGUAGUCCUCGGAGGACUACCAGAGCAAGGGUUAUCUUCUAAUUUUCCAUUUUGCUUUAUAUGUUGAUUUGUCAUUUCAUAACUACCAGCUUCUCCAUUGACUGGACUUUUCUGUCUUACUUGAGACAACUGUUUGCCAGGCUUUUCUCCAGUUCUUGGUGUUGAUGUGAUUAAAUUAUUAUCUAUAUCACAUUCAAUUCUACUCCGCUUUGAAGGAUUUUCUCUCUCUUCCUUGGGUGGGCUUCCUUUAAUGAACUUUUUAAUUGAAGACAAUAAGCUGGUUUCAUUCUUUGAUGGUUUUUUUCCUCCUGAAGGCAAGCUAUCAUCAAUCUCUGAGUAUUUCCUCUUUGCUCUGGCAGUGCGCUGUGUCUGGAUUGGACUGGACUGCUGAGAAGCCUUCCGUGUUCUCAGCUUCAUCUUUUACGGGUGCCACGUGUAAACCUUCACUGUGAUGACAGAAAAGUGUCCCUGCGAUGGUCCCGACUGCGCAAUAGGUGGUGUCUUUCCCGCUUAUCCCUCAGCAGCAACAGAACCAGCUCCUUCAGCCAGUCGCCAUUUCCUGCCUAC
rnacentral:lncRNA from 1 species